GAAAAACAGAAGAAAAGAGUCCUGCUCCCUUCAUCUUUUCUGUCAACGUUGACCUUGCCACAAUGACCGGUAAACUUCAACUGGGAAACCUCCAAGCAAGCAAGCAAGCAAGCAAGCAAGCACACUUGGAAACUUAUUUGGAGGACCGUUGCAAAACCAGACGCGCACCACGUUCUUUUUGAGGUCCAGCUUCUCGGCGAUGGCGGCAAUCUUCUCGGAGGAGGGCCGCGGCUGCACGGCGAAGUAGGCCUCGAGCGAGC